rnacentral:tRNA from 1 species
GCCCUGGCUCAGUGGUAGAGCAUCAGCUGGGCAUGCAGAAGGUCUCAGGUUCAAUUCCCGGUAUCUCCA